GGAUGUGAGGGCGAUCUGGCUGCAACAUCACUGGUCACUAGGGUUGAUCUGGCCAUCUAGGCGUCCCCUUCCCCCCCACCGCUCCACAAGCGUCCCUCCCAAAGCUGCGCGCUUGGUCAAAGAGGAAAACCAUCCCUGAUAGAGGAGGACAGGUCUUCAGUCAGGGGUAUACGAGUAACUGCGCUCCCCUGCCAGAAACUCCAAACAAGCCCUGAAAUGGUUCAUUAUAGAUGACUGUUACCUUUUUGUAAAAGGAAGCCUUUUGAAAGGUAGAUGUCAUUCCCUGACAGAAACUUCUCU
ensembl:misc_RNA 7SK 7SK RNA